rnacentral:lncRNA from 1 species
GCUAUUUUCAAACCUUUCUUCCCGUGAGUUACGUUUAUGUGCUGUAUGAAACUGCAAGGUGCUGGAAGGUGGCUACGUGCUUGGGCUUCAUUUGUUGCACAUCAUUUGUGGAAGGCUGCAGUAAGCACUCAAUACUUUGCUGUUGAUUGAUUUCAGAACAGAUCAAUCAGAUUGCAGAGCUCUGGCAGGUGCCACCAGCUGCCUAAUUCAUCGUUCAUCAAAAAGCCUUCUGAAAGUUGGGUCUCUAACAGGUGGUUUGGGCCACUUUCCUCUCGAUCAAGGGGGCGUUCUUGACGUGUGGGUUUAUUAUUUUCUCCUCACAUUUUAAUGCCACUCAUUUGAUUUGAUGUCUGGGUCCAGUGAGUUGGCACAAGGGAACCACUAAGUCCAGAUACGCCCUGGUGGCACCGGGGCCCUGCUUGGCUCAGACACGCCCUGGCGGCACCCAGGCCCUACUUGGCUCCCCUGGCCGGAGCCAGAAGAGCUCCUCUUUGUCAGGAAGUCUGCAGGUUUCAGACACUAAUUCUCUGCUGGGCAUGCAUCCAGAAGAGGUGUAAGGAGUGACAGACUGAUGGAAAGAGCCAACCAUGCCUCCCGAGGAGCAGAUGCCUCCUCUCUGAGCGGCCGGAGAGACCCGGAUGUGAUGCCAGCGGAGAAGCAGGCGAGAAAAGCAUGGAAGGGUGUGGGGUCAAUCGUCGACGGCAGGAGCCCGGGGGAAUCUUUCCAAGGCGUCUUGCUCGGCAUCAGUAAUCGUUGCUGUUCUCGUGAGAGCUGCUGGCCUUGCAGGCAGGAUGUCCAUAUGGAGGGCCGCCUGCGGCAGCGGGAGCCGGCCGCCCACACACACGGGCUGUGUAUUCAACAUCGCCUCCAUGAACUGUGCCCUGGAAGUGACUUCUGAGUCGACAAACCGAAAACUCAACAGCCCGUAAGAAACUAAGCUACAAUCAUAUACAGAAAAUGCCCACAUCACAUGCAGAGAUAGAGCAAUACCUGGGUAUGUUCAACUAAACUCAGUCUUUAAAGCUUCCAUUGGAUGUCAGCUCUGUCAGUUAUACAAAUUGAGGACAGUCUUGGUCCCUGCCCUUGAAAUGAGAUUGGUUGAAAUAAUAUUCUGUUGUUUAAAAUAUUUUAAUUUCCUGUAAUAGCAUCACCAUGUUCUGGGUGCACACUAAAAGUUAGCCAUUUCCCAAAAUUAUUACAUGGUAAGAUUUGUUCAAGUUUCUGAUAGUCUUUCGUUAGGAGUGUAUUGAGCAUGUACGAGGUUGAACACACGUGGUGGCGGCCUGGUGAGGGGCCAGGUGUCUCCUCGGGCCUUGGUGGGAGCUCCCAGGGAUCCUGAGGCUGCAGCCUCAGCCAGGGCCUCCUUCCCUGCUCCAGACAGGCCAGGGUGC